rnacentral:rRNA from 1 species
UACGUAGGGGGCGAGCGUUGUCCGGAAUCAUUGGGCGUAAAGAGCUCGUAGGCGGUUCAGUAAGUCGGCUGUGAAAUUCCGAGGCUCAACCUCGGAACUGCAGUCGAAACUACUGUGACUCGAGUCCGGUAGAGGAGAAUGGAAUUCCCGGUGUAGCGGUGAAAUGCGCAGAUAUCGGGAGGAACACCAGUAGCGAAGGCGGUUCUCUGGGCCGGUACUGACGCUGAGGAGCGAAAGCGUGGGGAGCAAACAGGAUUAGAAACCCCCGUAGUCC